rnacentral:tRNA from 1 species
GAGGGUAUAGCUCAGUGGCAGAGUGCAUGCUUAGCACGCACAAGGUCCUGGGUUCAAUCCUCAGUAUUUCUG